rnacentral:misc_RNA from 1 species
UUUCCGUAGGUGAACCUGCGGAAGGAUCAUUAACACGUAUCCACGUAUCAAAACCCCUCUGAGAAACCUCAUUCGAAAGGUCUGGUCUUAGUGUGUUGCUCGCAUGGGUCCUAACGAUGGUGGUUCGCAAGAACCAAGGGCUCGAGCAGCAUGUGUUUGACGAUCAACCGUUACUUUCCCAUUGUUGGCCUUUUUAACCCAUUUUUUAACCCCUUUGUACUCUUUUGUACUGAACCAAUUUUUUCGACGCUCUCCUCUGGAGAUGUGACGAAAGAUAUUACGAAACUAAAGAACAACUCUUAGCAACGGAUAUCUUGGUUCCC